AAAUGAACCCUUAGUGCAAUAUGCAAACUGCUCUUUACUGUGCUGCACUUGUUAGGUCUGGCUGAAUUACUUGGGGUGAAUAAUUUAUGCCACUAAUUUUGUUUUAUCUUUUUCCAUCGGAGGGAUUAUUAUUUCAUGAUCUACAUGAAAUUAAAUAAUACCUGGUAAAUACCUUUGUUAAUCUCAUUUUAUACUUACAAAUUAUGCCAGGAAAUACAAAACUGCAAUCACAUCUUUAUGCAAUUUAGACCUAAGCAACAGCAGAGUAAAAAAUUCCUGCAAAAUAAUAAAACCGCAAAAUGCAUAAAUGAAAAUACAUUUUUAAAGCAUUUUUAAUUGCAUUAAGCACCUGCAUAUGAAUUGGCACUAAAAAAUUAAGUGUUUAUUUUUAUAAAGUAUUAUUCAGGGAAUAUAGGAGAUAAUGUAAAAAUAGGGAAGGUUUUUGAACUAUGUCUUGGAAAUCAGUCUGGGAUCCAAAAGUCAAAUUUUGUUCUGAUUGUACAGUACUGCAGUAAAGACUGUAUAGUCUGAAUUUAGAGCUACUUUCUAAGUGAUCCACAGGAAACAGCACUUCAGAGGCUUUUAAAAUGAUGUGAUCACAUAGAAGUUACUGCUAGAGAAGCAAAGAUUGUCCUUCUGUGGAUGAUUUGAGUCCCAGAAGGUAAGACAAACACAAAGAACACGCACUCAGAUGCUCCUCAUCUCUUUUCUUCAAGUACGCCAUCCGUGUGCAUUUGUGCAUUACAGGCUUGCCAUAACCCAGCUUCUGCAAGAACCAUGCAGAAUUAACGUUCUGCUGAACAACGGUUUCUCCAGAGCCUCCUGAAAGAUGGCAAUGGGAAAUGAUGAAGGUCCACAGUUUAGAUGCAUCGUAACUUCCUGCAAUCUUAGUGCAAGCAAAGCCCUCCUUCAGCCUACAGAAGCAGAUGCUUUCAAAUGUAUUGAAUCUUCAUGGACUACUUGUAUCCUAAUACGCAAAACAUGCCCAGGAAUUUUCUGUGCAACAAGACCAGCUGGCAUAAAACAGCCCAUAUUUAUGCAAGAACGUCUUGCAGCUUCCAAAAUGGGGCUGGCAAAACUGCCUUUUGAGAAUGCUUCCUGGGACCUGGUAGGCGCGGAGCCAUGCCCAGGCUUGUCUGGGAGAAUGUUGGUUGGCGUGAGCCCAAUGCCUGUCGGGGACCAUUCUCACAAUUUUCUGGUGCAGACUUCUAGUUUCUAGUGCUUGGUAAUGUCCCUUAACAGCAUUCAAUUUCCUUGGCUCUCACACCACUGUGCUCAUCUAGUGCACUGAAGGCAGUCUUCCCUUCUAAGCUAAUGCUGGAAAAAAACAUAACCAUUUGUAUAUGCUUACACAAGCACUUGCUCCCUGGUAUGCUGAGUUAAGACUCUGGAGUUUGUAUGUGCCAAUAUUUCUUUGGUAAAAGGCCUCUAUCUGAUCCUGAGUGGGGGAUGACUUUUGGUGUGUGCAUUACAAAAUUAUUCAAUUCAGUAACAACGCUUCCAGCUUUUUCAUUUGAGGAUGUAGUUGUCUGGCUGGUUGUUUACUAUUAG
ensembl:lncRNA